AGGACUGGCCGAAAAAUUAAAGAGCACAUCUCAAAUCCAUGCGCCAUACGAGUGCAGCGAAAAAUUAGAUCUUAUGUAGAUGAAAAUAAAUAAAAAUAAUCGUAAAAAAUAAGAAAGAGGAUAAUAAAACAUCGAAGAAUAAAAGAGAACAUAAGGAUACAGAACUUACGUGGUUCUACCAACUUACAUUUACGAAUAAGACCUUCUUAAUGCGUUCUUCAAUUAAUUUACGGUAGAAAAGCGUACGGAGCAGAUUAAUCUGUAAGUAUCUUUCUCUUAAGAACCCUUUCACGUUUUCCUCUCAAUUUAGAGUUAACAAUAAACUCUCAAUUUAGAGUUUAAAAUCCUGACACAGCGUUUGGUUCGGGAAUAGAAAAAUAUAAGUCCUUGUUUCACCUUUUGUUCCCAAACAAAAUUUUCGUGCCCGAGAAUAGUAGUUCUCGAAUCCCUGUUAUAAACUAGUGUAACCUGAUAUAAGUCUAAAACUGUUAUUCCACCCUUUUUUUCUAAAACAAGCUUGUUACCAAGUGAGAACAAGGUUAAUUAAAAUCUAAGUUUAAUUUUAAUUAUGGUAUUAAAUUAUUAAUUAAUAUAAAUAAUAUACUUAAAUCAUUAUUUAUUGCUUAAAUAAUAAAGGAAUUAAUUAAUUUAUUACUUAUAAUUAAUUAUUAAUAAUUUAAUGUGUUUAUCUAUAAAUUAGUAUUUAUAUUGAUAAACCAUUAAUAUUUUUAUUAAUUUAAUUAAUUUUUUAAUUAGUUAUCUAACUAAAAUAAUUUACUAACUAAUUACAAAAUUAAAUUAUUUUUUUUUAUAUUUAAUUAAUUAUAAUUAAUAUAUUUUUAUUAUCUUAUACAAUAUUCAUAAGCUAAUAAAUUUAUUAAUUUAUUAAAUUAUUUUUAAUUAAUAUUUUAAUGUUAAUUAAUUAAAUAAAAUAUUUUAAUUUAAAAUUANAUUUUAAUUAUGGUAUUAAAUUAUUAAUUAAUAUAAAUAAUAUACUUAAAUCAUUAUUUAUUGCUUAAAUAAUAAAGGAAUUAAUUAAUUUAUUACUUUUUAAUGUUAAUUAAUUAAAUAAAAUAUUUUAAUUUAAAAUUAUAGCUCUUAUUUCUCGAAUUUCAAUCUAACUAUCAAACACUAUUUACCUUAUUUUCAGGAAUAAUACAAUUUUCUUCCAAACACAAAAUUAAUCUAAUUCCUACUUAUAUCUGAGCUUGUAUCUAUUCCCGAAAUAAGCAAUUUUUAGUUAUACCCGAACUAAGUGCAGUGUAAAACUCCAAUUUUAGUAGGAAGCAAUUUUUCUCGUCCA
rnacentral:lncRNA from 1 species